GACGAACGCUGGCGGCGUGCUUAAUACAUGCAAGUCGAACGCAGUGGGGACGGGUGAGUAACACGUGGGUAACCUCCCAUCAGAGGGGAGAACACUUGGAAACUGGUGCUAAACCGAUACUGAUGGAUGGACCAGCGGUGCAUUAGCCAGUGGUUGAGGGAACGGCUCACCAAGGCCACGAGGCAUAGCCGACCUGAGAGGAUGAUCGGCCGCCCUGGGACUGUGACACGGCCCAGACUCUUCCGGGAGGCAGCAGUAGGUAAUCUUCGGCAAUGGACGAAAGUCUGACCGAGCAACGCCGCUUUAGUGAAGAAGGUUUUCGGAUCGUAAAUCUCUGUUGUUAGAGAAGCGUUAUCUACCCAGAAAGCCACGGCUAACUCCGUGCCAGCAGCCGCGGUAAUAC
rnacentral:rRNA from 1 species